rnacentral:rRNA from 1 species
GACGAACGCUGGCGGCGUGCCUAAUACAUGCAAGUAGAACGCAGUUGCGAACGGGUGAGUAACGCGUAGGUAAAUACCUACUAGAGGGGGAUAACUAUUGGAAACGAUAGCUAAUACCGCAUACUUGUAGAUGGACCUGCGUUGUAUUAGGUAGUCGGUAGGGUAAUGGCCUACCUAGGCAACGAUACAUAGCCGACCUGGGAGGGGUGUCGGCCCAACUGGGACUGGGACACGGGCCAGACUCCUACGGGAGGGAGCAGUAGGGGAUCUUCGGCCAUUGGGGGAACGCUGACCGGGCAACGCCGCGGGAGUGAAGAAGGUUUUCGGAUCGGAAAGCUCUUUUGUUAAGGAAGCGGUACCUAACCAGAAAGGGACGGCUAACUACGUGCCAGCAGCCGCGGUAAUUC